rnacentral:rRNA from 1 species
UUAAACAAGAUAAGAGUUUUUGGUGGAUGCCUUGGGUCUGGAAGUCGAUGAAGGACGUGAUUACCUGCGAUAAGCCUCGGUUAGCUGGAAAUGAGCUGUGAUCCGGGGAUUUCCGAAUGGGGAAACCUAAUUGAGCUAAUCCUCAAUUAUCAUAUCGAUGAAUACAUAGUCGAAUGAAGAGACACGCUGUGAAUUGAAACAUCUCAGUAGCAGCAGGAAGAGAAAAUAAAGAAUGAUUCCCUCAGUAGUGGCGAGCGAACGGGGAAGAGCCCAAACCAACAUUCGUUGUUGGGGUUAUAGGACUACAUUUUAGAGUUACAAAAUUUACAUAUAGCAGAAUAAGUUGGAAUGCUUAAACAUAGAGGGUGAAAUUCCCGUAAGCGAAAUGUGUAGAUCUCUUUGUAGUAUCCUGAGUAGGGCGGGGCACGUGAAACCCUGUCUGAAUUUGCCGGGACCACCCGGUAAGGCUAAAUACUAACCAGACACCGAUAGUGAACUAGUACCGUGAGGGAAAGGUGAAAAGAACCCCGGGAGGGGAGUGAAAUAGAUUCUGAAACCAAUUACUUACAGUUAGUCAGAGCCCGUUAAUGGGUGAUGGCGUACAUCUUGCAGAAUGGACCGGCGAGUUAUGUCAACAUGCGAGGUUAAGUGGAUUAAAGCGAAGCCGUAGAGAAAUCGAGUCUUAAUAGGGCGCUUAGUAUGUUGAUAUAGACCCGAAACCAGGUGAUCUACCCAUGAGCAGGUUGAAACUUAGGUAACACUAAGUGGAGGACCGAACCGUAGUACGCUAAAAAGUGCCCGGAUGACUUGUGGGUAGGGGUGAAAUUCCAAUCGAACUUGGAGAUAGCUGGUUCUCUCCGAAAUAGCUUUAGGGCUAGCGUGUAGUGUUAAGUGAUGGGGGUAGAGCACUGAAUAUGGAAUGGCGGCGCCUAGCUGUACUGACUAUAAUCAAACUCCGAAUACUAUCAUGAAUUGCUAUGCAGUCGGUACAUCGGUGAUAACGUCGAUGCACGCGAGGGGAACAACCCAGAUCGUCAGCUAAGGUCCCAAAAUUGUGUUAAGUGAGAAAGGUUGUGGAGUUUCUUAAACAGCUAGGAUGUUGGCUUAGAAGCAGCCAUCGUUUAAAGAGUGCGUAAUAGCUCACUAGUCGAGAGACUCUGUGCCGAUAAUUCAACGGGACUAAAACACAAUACCGAAGCUACGGGCAUGAAAAUGCGUUAGGAGAGCGUUGUAAGGGCAUUGAAGCCAGACUGUGAAGACUGGUGGAGCGCUUACAAGUGAGAAUGCCGGUAUGAGUAACGAUUCAGAGUGAGAAUCUCUGACGCCUAUUGGGGAAGGUUUCCUGGGCAAGGUUCGUCCACCCAGGGUUAGUCGGGUCCUAAGACGAGGCCGAAAGGCGUAGCCGAUGGACAACAGGUUAAUAUUCCUGUACUUUCUAUAAAUGUGAUGGAGUGACGGGGGAGGAUAGCACUACCACUUAUUGGAUUGUGGGGUAAAUAGUGACUGGGUUAUGUAGGCAAAUCCGCAUAACUUAACCGGGAGCUAUGAUGCAUAGUGAAAGGGCAACUAAGUAGCGAAUUGGAUGAUUCCAUACCUCUUAAAAAAGCUUCUAACAUAUAGUUUAUGGAAACCCGUACCGAGAACGGACACACGUCCCCAAGAUGAGUAUUCUAAGGCGAGCGAGAAAACCAAUGUCAAGGAACUCUGCAAAUUCAUCCCGUAAGUUCGCAAGAAGGGAUGCCCACCCUAAAAAGUGGGCCGCAGUGAAUAGUAAGGGGGAACUGUUUAUCAAAAACACAGCUCUAUGCUAAGUCGUAAGACGAUGUAUAUGGGGUGACUCCUGCCCAGUGCCCGAAGGUUAAGCAAAGGUGUUAGCUUUAGCGAAGCAUUGAUGUGAAGCCCGGGUGAACGGCGGCCGUAACUAUAACGGUCCUAAGGUAGCGAAAUUCCUUGUCGGCUAAAUACUGACCUGCACGAAAGGAGUAAUUAUCUCUUAACUGUCUCGACAUUGGAUUCGGUGAAAUUAUGGUUCCGGCGAAGACGCCGGAGACCCGCAUCUAGACGAAAAGACCCCGUGGAGCUUUACUAUAACUUCAUAUUGGAGUUUGAUUUAACUUGUGUAGGAUAGGUGGGAGACUAUGAUGCUUGAACGCUAGUUCAAGUGGAGUCGACGUUGAAAUACCACCCUUGUUACGUUGAACUUCUAACUUGUUACCAUGAUCUGGUAAGAGGACAGUGUGUGGUGGGUAGUUUGACUGGGGCGGUCGCCUCCUAAAGGGUAACGGAGGCGUUCAAAGUUACACUCAAUU